GGGGGAAUUUUUAUAUCCCCCAUCCAUCCGUUUGGCCCAAUGGCGAAGUCCAAACCGCAUGGGAAGGAUUGAUAGCGCGUUCGGUCUUUUCCGGAGCUUUGCAGAUGACGUUUUGGCGUUACGUAAUUUAGGUAUAUUUAUCUCUAAUCUGACUCCAAAGACAAAGAUUUAGUUUAUAUUAUAUUACAAAUUUGAUUGAUUAUUACUUUUAAAGCUUACAGAAUUUAGAUGGAUGUUUGUUUAUUUAUUCUGAUAAAGCUCUGGUAUUACACUCGUUCAUUCGGUUCUCACAGUCGCACAUGAUCCUAGUACGGGCCUCAUAAUUAAUAUACUGGUCAACGGUCGUAAGCGAAUCAGUGUUGGUCGCUGCCAGAGGUUGGACUAUACGCUUAAGCGGCCGCUUUCUGCGUGCUCAACUUUAAACAUACUUUAUUUAGUCCCCUUAGAGGUGACACUUAAUUAUUACAAUUAUUAUUUCUAAUCAAGAUUAAUGAAUAGAAUAACUUUGAAAUAAACAGAGGUUGAGGCUGACCCUAUUUAGAGUAAUCAGAAAUGUUACUCUAAACGGAAACACAGCCUCCACGCUUCUAAGUACACUUAAACUAACGCCAAUUGCUAUUCGUAUCUCACAAAUCCUCAGCUGAUGUAUUAUUCACUAUCUAACUGGGUUUGGGCCGAUCCUAGCCUGAUUUCAGUCCUUACGGUAACUACGGAUACAACGAUAUUACUUGCAGUGUCAACAUUUACCGAGCAACACAGAAUAAAAUCAAAUAUAACAAUUUAUUAACCAGGUAGGUAAAACAUAAUUCAGAAGCCAAUUUACAUUCCAAUUCGAAUACGAAAAUCAAACGAAAACCCAUUGCAUACCUGGUAAUGAGAUGAAGAUCUGGUUACAGAUUCCUCAAAGUAAAAUAAAAUACAUGAUGCUGUGCAAGGACAGCAUCAUGGGGGUGCAUUUCUCGAUAUUGAAAGUCCCCCCUAAAUCUUCUACACAUCUCCUUAAAUAACCAGAGAACAAAGCAUAUAGGAAUUUGGUACUGAUUGGUUGUUGGUAAAACUAAGGGCUGUCCUUAAUCUGUAUACAGUGGGUGAUUGGUUUAUGCUUAGAAUGGGAGGUGUCUAUCAACAUUGAAUGAAGUUUCACAUAUACUUUAACAUUGAAUUCUGUUGUUAUAUGAGUGAGACCUGUAACCACUUGCAAUGAGACAUUCCAAUAGAAAACAAAUAAGAUACAGAUUUUAGAUUCUUUGUGCAUGUAGCAUUUCAUAUACAGUUUGCUUUUAGAGAAAAGAAUACAAAUGUAUGACACCCUAAAGGUGUGUCUUUGAAACCCAAAUGUGUCUCAGUGGGAAGUCCACUGUGAAUCGUGGAGAGUGGCUUUUCCCGCGCACUCACUUUGCCCCCAUGCAGUGUCCUUUGGGGAGGUGCUAUCUUAUUUAGGAAAUUAUCUUACAGCUCCGCCGCUUGAUCAUAUCGGAGAACAUAACAGUCCCGAUGAGAUCAACAUAUAGUAAGAUGUUAGCUCUUGGUGGUGUCCAAUCUCUGUAGUGUUCGUAGUGUUCAAGUUCAGUGUGUCAACCAAGGCCUGCGUGCUUUGUUCAAUGAAUGUCCCAUUCUUUUGCGAAAAAACCACCUGUUUUUAGACGUUCUGUUCCUUUGAAGAAAGUUGUCACCUCUGAACGGUGAUCUCCUCUGAUUUCAGACAUCGUCAGGUGGGGAUCAUGUCAUUGACAAUACAUCACUGUGUGAAACACCUGCACAUCUUAAGGACCAUUCAUUGAUUGAACAUUGAUCAAUACUGAUAGACUCAGCAACAUUAUCAGGAGAUUCAUAGGGUAAACCAUAAAUAAAAUAAAUAAAAAACAUAGCACAUGAUACCUUGAUAUGGAAAGUGCAAGUGGUACGGUCUCACCAGGUCAAAUAUAUCUGAUCUAUAAAAUUACCAAUGUUCUUUCCCACUGUUGUAUUUGGAGUUUAGUUGAAUUUAAAUGUACUUGGUCUCUGGAUAUUGAAGAAGAAGAUGCAAAAGAUCAGGUUAAAACAACAAUGCAUAACAUUGAGGUAUGCAUAUUAUAAAAAUAAAACCCAGAAAAUAAAAUGUUAAAAUAACCUUGAGAUAUGCAUGUUACAGAUUGUAUGAAAAUAAAACCCAGGAAUGGUUAAAAUGAUCUUCAGGUAUGCAUGUUAUAGAUUGUAUGAAAAUAAACCCAGAAAAUGUAAAAAUAACCUUCUUCAGGUAUGCAUAUUGGGUCAUGUGAAAAUAAAAGAAAAUAAAAACCAGAAAGUGUUAAAUAACAUUCAGGUAUGCAUAUAUUGGGUCAUGUAAAAAAAAAAAUAA